GCCGCCGCCACCGCCGCCACCGCCGCCGCUCGCUCCUAACGCAGCUUCCAGGAAAGCGGCAUCCGAGAGGCGAUCCGUGGUGCAGGGGAAAAGCAUGCGAGAGGGAAAGUUCGGGGGGAGGGGGGAGGGAAGAAGGGAAGGGAUGGGCCAAGAGAGGGGAUCUUCUCUCUUUUUGGGGGCGGGAGGGGGCCCCAGGGGGUAAUCCUCUUGGGUGCCUCAGCUGGUGCGUUAUGAGGCUGGGUCGUGGGGGGUGGGGUGGGGCGUGUGCGGGGGGGUGGGGUAGGGGCUGGGCUGGGGGGAUCUCGGCUCAAGGGGGUCGGACGCGGCCUCAGUAUUGAUCUCACAAACAGACACGCGCCCGCGGCCCCCCCGCCCCCCGAUCUGCCACCGCCACCGCCACCGCCGCCGCUGCCGCCGCCGCCGCCGCCUCUGCCGCCGCUGUUACCACCACCACCAGCCCCGCCGCUUCCUAGCAAGCUCACUGCUGCCCAAAAGCUCCCAGCCAGGGAACUCCACCAGCCUAUUUAUCUGAGCCCCGGGAAAGCUCCGUGACGUAGCUGCCCAUAUAUGGACAGACAAAGCCCAGCCGAAGGGGCGCGACGUCACAAUGGAAGCUCCUCACAAUGGAACAUUAGAAAGCAGGAAGCGGGCCUCAGCCAACGUGCGGCGCCCGCAACGCUCGCGGCUCUCGAAAAAAAGAGAGAGAAGGGGAGAAGAAAGAAGAAGAAUGUGAGAAGAGAGAGGAAGGAAGGAUACAGCUGAAUGCAAAGCGCAAAGCGCGUAGCGUGGAGUCGAAACACCAGUAACUCAUUAUGGCUGUCCCGAUUGCUGCCUGCCGGCGCUCUGCAGUCUAGGGCGGCUUGUGUGCUGACCCGGAGCGCCGUCACCUCCCGGAGCUGCAGCGGAUCCCGGGGGCGGCUGCUGUGCUCCCUGGGGCCUGCUCCCAAGAUUCCGGUCCCAAGAUUUGCAUAUUUUGGCAUCCAGUGGAAAAGGAAAGAAGAACGGAACCCGCAGCCUUUAAAGGAACCGCACAGGCUGAUCUCUCCCCAGGAGGGGCUGCAGAUUAAGGAGCUAGAAGUCCUCAUCCUGUUCGAUUGGGGCCUGCGUCGGGAAAGGCAGAGGCAGUGGAAGCGUUUGGGCUCCUUAAGCUUCCAGGGCCACAGAGGCGGUGGAGUGCAGCCACUCCCAUCUGGAGGAGACGGCCCACUCCCACCUGGAGGAGACGGCCCCCUCCCCUGACCCUUUUCAGCUCGCUGGACCUGUUGCUCCCAAGGAGAAGAGCAUGGGGCAAAGUUUGCCAACCUGCGCCAGGGCCUGCUUACCGGGCAGCAAGAUUGGAUAGGAGUCUGGAGACAUGAUUCCUCCCCUCUCCUUUCUACUAGUUCUUUGCAUAAAACGGGAGCCUUCAGUUCAAUUAAAUAGUCUUCAUUAAAGCUUCAUUGUGACCUUGGGCAAACGUCUGUAUUUUUUUCUUAGCCUCAGUUUCCUCAUCUGUAAAUUGGGAUAAUAACAGUAUAUACCCUUUAGGAAGAAUUAAAUUUGAUAAUCCUCAUAGAGUACUUUCCAGUUCCUUAAGAAAGCACCCAAUAAACAGCAGUUAUUGUUAAACUAUUCUUCCUCACCCUGCCAUGUGACAGACAGGCCCUUCCCUCCUGUGCAUGGCAGGAGUAAAUUUAGAUGAUACAGGUACUAAAAAGGCCAGGUAUGGAACUUCAUCACAGAGCAGCAUGAUCAUAUGCAAGAAGUGUUAAUGUUUAUUAUUUAGGGGGAAAAGGAAAUUCCUCUGUGUGUGUGGUAUCUCCUGGGCACUGUCUAGGGAUGGUUAAGGAAUGGUCCUGGGUAUUCAAGAGCCCAGACACCAAGUGAGCCCUCAAAAGCUGGUGGUGACACAAAGCAGGGUUCAAAGAAGUCACUCAGUUGCUCUCUAACACUCUGGAGCAGGCUUUCAGACAUUUUUGGGAGGUGGUGUAGCCCCUGGAGUGGGAGGGAGCCUUUCCUUCUCUCCUCUGUUAGAAGGAACCAUGCUGGGGAAAGCCUGCCCCACAAGGUUAGGCCCUCAGUACUCGGUGCCUGUUCGAGUUGUGGCCUGCACAGAUGUCCCCUGUCACCCUGGAGGACUGUGGCAGAUGGAGUCCAGGGUUCUGUGGCAGGAGGGGACAACGCUGGGUGUGGAGCAGGAGUGGGGUGUUGGAGUGGCUGCUUUGUAAAUGAAUCGCAUUCUCCCUUCUGGUUGCCAAGCCUUAGAAUAGAAAAAAGUUCUCCUCUUUCCCUUCUUCCCUCCUGGUUUCCUCUCUUUCUCCUGAACAGGAGCUGAAGGUGUUUGUCUGGUUUACUGGCGGGCUCAGGUGAGACAGCCCAGGGCCUAAUUACCUGAACUCUAAGCCCUGAACUUGCUAGGGAGCGAGUAGGCACUGGUUCAGGGUGGCCUUAUCCUGGAGGUGGCGAAAGGCAGGCCGGCUCCUCUGCAGCAGAGCCAGAACCGCCAGCUCUGGCUUCUGUCUCCUAUGGAGUCCAACUCAUCAGCUGUACUUAUGGGGAAUACGGCUGCUUGUCCUGGGCAUGGGUGUGUUUGUCUUGAUUAAGGACAAAGGAGGGAGGAGAAGUGGCCCCUGAAAUCUACUGUAGAAAAAUGCAAAGUGACAGCUCUGUCUUGGUCUUGUUUUAUAGUCACCUCUGCCCUCUGAACUUUAGCUGCCCUGUUUGCUAAAGAUAUCUAGUCCUUCUCUGCUAUCCUAGAAUAAAGAACUCCCCACACCCUGAAUUAAUUCAAUCUGGGGUGUGAGCAAUCUAAUGCAUUGCCCUUCUCAGAGGGUGUGUGCCUUUUAAAGGAAAAUGCUUGGGGAGGGUGAUAUACAGCCCAGAAGAAUCAAGCCCAAUACUUAGCAUGAUGGCUGGAAAGUGGCAGGCGCCCAUGAAUGCUGGUGGAAUCACAUCUGGUUGUGGCAUAUCAGAGUCAAGGAGCAGGAGACUUGGGGUGCAGAGAGUGUCUGGGUUCCUCCAAUCACACCAAGCACCUGUGUAUGGGGCCCAGCCUGGUGGGACUGCUCCUGAAUGGCUGUUCUCUUGAGGGUCCUCAGUUGUUUUCCAAAUUGGGGUGUGACACAG
ensembl:lncRNA